GACGAACGCUGGCGGCGUGCUUAACACAUGCAAGUCGAACGGAAAGGCCCUUCGGGGUACUCGAGUGGCGAACGGGUGAGUAACACGUGGGUGAUCUGCCCUGCACUUUGGGAUAAGCCUGGGAAACUGGGUCUAAUACCGAAUAGGACCGUGCGCCUCUUGGUGUGUGGUGGAAAGCUUUUGCGGUGUGGGAUGGGCCCGCGGCCUAUCAGCUUGUUGGUGGGGUAAUGGCCUACCAAGGCGAUGACGGGUAGUCGGCCUGAGAGGGUGUCCGGCCAAACUGGGACUGGGAUACGGCCCAGACUCCUACGGGAGGCAGCAGUGGGGAAUAUUGAACAAUGGGCGCAAGCCUGAUGCAGCGACGCCGCGUGAGGGAUGACGGCCUUCGGGUUGUAAACCUCUUUCGGUAGGGACGAAGCGCAAGUGACGGUACCUACAGAAGAAGCACCGGCCAACUACGUGCCAGCCGCCGCUGUAA
rnacentral:rRNA from 1 species